AAAAUUAAAUAUUUGUACCGUAGACAGUAGGGGAGAAAUCUUAAUUAUCCUACCGAGGAACUUUAUAAAGAUUCUUUGGCCUUACUGUAUUGUAAGGCUUUU
rnacentral:sRNA from 1 species